AUUGAACGCUGGCGGCAGGCCUAACACAUGCAAGUCGAACGGUAACAGAAAGCAGCUUGCUGCUUUGCUGACGAGUGGCGGACGGGUGAGUAAUGUCUGGGAAACUGCCUGAUGGAGGGGGAUAACUACUGGAAACGGUAGCUAAUACCGCAUAACGUCGCAAGACCAAAGAGGGGGACCUUCGGGCCUCCUGCCAUCGGAUGUGCCCAGAUGGGAUUAGCUAGUAGGUGGGGUAAAGGCUCACCUAGGCGACGAUCCCUAGCUGGUCUGAGAGGAUGACCAGCCACACUGGAACUGAGACACGGUCCAGACUCCUACGGGAGGCAGCAGUGGGGAAUAUUGCACAAUGGGCGCAAGCCUGAUGCAGCCAUGCCGCGUGUAUGAAGAAGGCCUUCGGGUUGUAAAGUACUUUCAGCGGGGAGGAAGGGAGUAAAGUUAAUACCUUUGCUCAUUGACGUUACCCGCAGAAGAAGCACCGGCUAACUCCGUG
rnacentral:rRNA from 1 species